rnacentral:rRNA from 1 species
CAGUAGCCGCGGUAAUACAGAGGGUGCGAGCGUUAAUUGGAUUUACUGGGCGUAAAGCGUGCGUAGGCGGCUUCUUAAGUCGGAUGUGAAAUCCCUGAGCUUAACUUAGGAAUUGCAUUCGAUACUGGGAAGCUAGAGUAUGGGAGAGGAUGGUAGAAUUCCAGGUGUAGCGGUGAAAUGCGUAGAGAUCUGGAGGAAUACCGAUGGCGAAGGCAGCCAUCUGGCCUAAUACUGACGCUGAGGUACGAAAGCAUGGGGAGCAAACAGGAUUAGAUACCCGGGUAGUCCCUGUCUCUUAUAA